UUGGAGGGCAAGUCUGGUGCCAGCAGCCGCGGUAAUUCCAGCUCCAAUAGCGUAUAUUAAAGUUGUUGCAGUUAAAAAGCUCGUAGUUGAAUUUCGGGAUUGACACAUCGGUCGUGCCUUAAGGGGUAUGAACUGGUGUAGUCAAUUUCCCACCUUCUGGAGAACCGCGAUGCCCUUAAUUGGGUGUCGCGGGGAACCAGGACCUUUACUUUGAAAAAAUUAGAGUGUUUAAAGCAGGCAUUUUGCUUGAAUACAUUAGCAUGGAAUAAUAAAAUAGGACGGCAUGAUUCUAUUUUGUUGGUUUCUAGGAUCACCGUAAUGAUUAAUAGGGAUAGUUGGGGGCAUUAGUAUUCAAUUGUCAGAGGUGAAAUUCUUGGAUUUAUUGAAGACUAACUACUGCGAAAGCAUUUGCCAAGGAUGUUUUCAUUAAUCAAGAACGAAAGUUAGGGGAUCGAAGACGAUCAGAUACCGUCGUAGUCUUAACCAUAAACUAUGCCGACUAGGAAUCAGACGAUGUUAAUUUUUUAAUGACUCGUUCGGCGCCUUACGGGAAAC
rnacentral:rRNA from 1 species